ensembl:lncRNA
CAAGCAUUCUCUACAGAAAUAAGGGCUGAGAUAAGAUCAUGACUUUGUGGUCCAUGGCUCCUGAUAACACAGUCUCUUCUAGGGACCACAGAAGGGGCCUCAGUGUCAAGCUGCAAACUCUGGUGGCUCCUCAGUGGUUUGGCCUUUUGUCCAUUCACUCAUCCAAUGGUCAUGUCUUCUAUAUUUUCACCCAUUCAUUCUUCCACCCUCCCAGUUACACCUUCUUUCAGACCCUCCCUUCCUUCCUUCCUCCUUUCUUUCCUUCUUCCCUUCCUUCCCUUCCUUCCUCCUCCUUUUGUCCCCUCCUUCCUUCCUUUCCUUCCUCCCUUCCUUCCUUUUAUCCAUCCAUCCGGCUAUCCUUCUGUCCAUUCACCUAGUUCUCCUUUUUCUGUUCUGUCUUCCCAUUCAUCUCUCAAUCUUUCUUCCUUGUGUUUAUUCCUCCUUCCUUAUCUCGGACCCUCCUUUUGUCCAUUCAUCCUCCUUUAUUCGGGUAUCCCAUAUGUCAUCCACAUUUCUGCUCCUCCAUCUAUCUUUGUAUACCCACUCUUGAGCUCUUGGAUUCAUUUCAUUCACAGGCUGGCUUUUCCCUCAACUCACAAAUCAUUCCUUCCCUCACUCUCAUUAAUGGUACACCUAUGAAUGGUUGUCCUUGGAAAACCACUUGUGGAGCCCGGGUGAGGCUGGGGGGCUUCUUCCUCUCUGUGAGGGGCUCCGUCUAACCCUGAUGACUGCCCCUUCGACAGCACCUGAGCCAACCACCACACUCCUGCCUACAUUAUCAACAUCUGUGCAACCAGAAUCCGCCACAGCUGUGGGACACAACCUGAAGACCUUCACACUCAACUUCACCAUCUCCAACCUUGUGUAUUCAGCAGACAUGAGCCAUGGCAUGGCCAUGUUCAACUCCACCGAGAGGGUCCUGCAGCGCCUGGUGAGAUGCUGGUUCCAGGCACCCCUGGUGGGAUCAGCCCUCCCACCCCCCAACUUCUCCCUCAACCCCUGUCCUUUUUCUGCUCAUCGUCCUUCUCCUACCUCCCCAGCUUGGAUCCUUGCUCCAGAAGAGCAGCCUGGGCACCUUCUACUCAAAUUGCAGACUGAUCUCCCUCAGGUAAGACCUUUUCCUGAGCAUUUGCCAGUAAGGACCACUUUUCGUGGCCAUCCCUUUCUCAGUCUUCCCACUGACCUCCCAUUUGCUUCUGCCUCUUUCUGGCCUCACAUCCAGAGGUUUCAAGACCUCUCUCAAGAGUUCCCAUUGUUUUUUGUUUGUUUGUUUUGUUUCUUAUUUUUUUGGCCUGUACCACAGCCACAGCAACACCAGAUCCAAGCCAUGUCUGCGACCUACACCAUAGCUCACAGCAAUGCCAGAUCCUUAACCCACUGAGCAAGGCCAGGGAUCGAACCUGCAUCCUCAUGGAUGCUAGUCAGGUUCACUAACCAGUGAGCCACGACGGGAACUUUCCCUAACUAGUAUUCUUAAUCCAUGAGGAUGUCAGUUCAGUCCAUGGCCUGGCUCAGUGGGUUAAGGAUCCAGCAUUGCCGCAAGCUAUGGCAUAGGUCACAGAUGUAGCUUGGAUACAAUGUGGCUGUGGCUGGCAGCUGCAGCUCCAAUUUGACCCCUAGCCUAGGAACUUCCAUAUGCCUCAGAUGUGGCCAUAAAAAGAAAAAAAAAUCAUUAGGGACAUAAAAAAGGCAGAGACAGGAGCUCCUUUGUAGCGCAGUGGGUUAAGGAUCUGACAUUGCCGACGCAACAGCUCGGGUCAGUGCUAUGUGGCAAGUUUGAUCCCUGGUCCAGGAACAUCCACAUGCUAUGGGCUUGGCCAAAAAAAUAAUAAAUGAAUGAAUAAAUAAAUAAAUAAAAUUAGA